UACGGAGGGUGCAAGCGUUAAUCGGAAUUACUGGGCGUAAAGCGUGCGUAGGCGGCUUGUUCAGUCAGAUGUGAAAGCCCUGGGCUUAACCUGGGAACUGCAUUUGAUACUGGCAGGCUAGAGUUUAGUAGAGGGGAGUGGAAUUUCAGGUGUAGCGGUGAAAUGCGUAGAGAUCUGAAGGAACACCAGUGGCGAAGGCGGCUCCCUGGACUAAAACUGACGCUGAGGUACGAAAGCGUGGGGAG
rnacentral:rRNA from 1 species